rnacentral:rRNA from 1 species
AGCUUGCUCCCUUAGGUCAGCGGCGGACGGGUGAGUAACACGUGGGUAACCUGCCUGUAAGACUGGGAUAACUCCGGGAAACCGGGGCUAAUACCGGAUGCUUGAUUGAACCGCAUGGUUCAAUCAUAAAAGGUGGCUUUUAGCUACCACUUACAGAUGGACCCGCGGCGCAUUAGCUAGUUGGUGAGGUAACGGCUCACCAAGGCGACGAUGCGUAGCCGACCUGAGAGGGUGAUCGGCCACACUGGGACUGAGACACGGCCCAGACUCCUACGGGAGGCAGCAGUAGGGAAUCUUCCGCAAUGGACGAAAGUCUGACGGAGCAACGCCGCGUGAGUGAUGAAGGUUUUCGGAUCGUAAAACUCUGUUGUUAGGGAAGAACAAGUACCGUUCGAAUAGGGCGGCACCUUGACGGUACCUAACCAGAAAGCCACGGCUAACUACGUGCCAGCAGCCGCGGUAAUACGUAGGUGGCAAGCGUUGUCCGGAAUUAUUGGGCGUAAAGCGCGCGCAGGCGGUUUCUUAAGUCUGAUGUGAAAGCCCCCGGCUCAACCGGGGAGGGUCAUUGGAAACUGGGGAACUUGAGUGCAGAAGAGGAGAGUGGAAUUCCACGUGUAGCGGUGAAAUGCGUAGAGAUGUGGAGGAACACCAGUGGCGAAGGCGACUCUCUGGUCUGUAACUGACGCUGAGGCGCGAAAGCGUGGGGAGCGAACAGGAUUAGAUACCCUGGUAGUCCACGCCGUAAACGAUGAGUGCUAAGUGUUAGAGGGUUUCCGCCCUUUAGUGCUGCAGCAAACGCAUUAAGCACUCCGCCUGGGGAGUACGGUCGCAAGACUGAAACUCAAAGGAAUUGACGGGGGCCCGCACAAGCGGUGGAGCAUGUGGUUUAAUUCGAAGCAACGCGAAGAACCUUACCAGGUCUUGACAUCCUCUGACAACCCUAGAGAUAGGGCUUCCCCUUCGGGGGCAGAGUGACAGGUGGUGCAUGGUUGUCGUCAGCUCGUGUCGUGAGAUGUUGGGUUAAGUCCCGCAACGAGCGCAACCCUUGAUCUUAGUUGCCAGCAUUCAGUUGGGCACUCUAAGGUGACUGCCGGUGACAAACCGGAGGAAGGUGGGGAUGACGUCAAAUCAUCAUGCCCCUUAUGACCUGGGCUACACACGUGCUACAAUGGGCAGAACAAAGGGCAGCGAAGCCGCGAGGCUAAGCCAAUCCCACAAAUCUGUUCUCAGUUCGGAUCGCAGUCUGCAACUCGACUGCGUGAAGCUGGAAUCGCUAGUAAUCG